rnacentral:rRNA from 1 species
GUGGGGAAUUUUGGACAAUGGGGGAAACCCUGAUCCAGCUAUGCCGCGUGCGGGAUGAAGGCCUUCGGGUUGUAAACCGCUUUUGUCAGAGACGAAAAGGGACGCACGAAUAAUACGUUCCGCUGACGGUAUCUGAAGAAUAAGCACCGGCUAACUACGUGCCAGCAGCCGCGGUAAUACGUAGGGUGCAAGCGUUAAUCGGAAUUACUGGGCGUAAAGGGUGCGCAGGCGGCUGUGCAAGACAGAUGUGAAAUCACCGGGCUUAACCUGGGAACUGCAUUUGUGACUGCACGGCUAGAGUUUGUCAGAGGAGGGUGGAAUUCCGCGUGUAGCAGUGAAAUGCGUAGAUAUGCGGAGGAACACCGAUGGCGAAGGCAGCCCCCUGGGAUAACACUGACGCUCAGGCACGAAAGCGUGGGGAGCAAACAGGAUUAGAUACCCGUGUAGUCC